UAUGAUUUCGUUGAGCCAACUGAUAAGC
rnacentral:sRNA from 1 species